GUCCGCACAGUAAACGAUGGAUGCUCGCCGUCCGCGAUAUACAGCGGGUGGCCAAGCGAAAGCGAUAAGCAUCCCACCUGGGGAGUACGCCGGCAACGGUGAAACUCAAAGGAAUUGACGGGGGCCCGCACAAGCGGAGGAACAUGUGGUUUAAUUCGAUGAUACGCGAGGAACCUUACCCGGGCUUGAAAUGCGGACGAUCGGGGGUGAAAGCCCCCUUCCAGCAAUGGCGUCCGCGUAGGUGCUGCAUGGUUGUCGU
rnacentral:rRNA from 1 species